rnacentral:rRNA from 1 species
GUCUAUAGCCAUGCCACUCUGGACACACCAGAGAUCACCUGAUCUUGGAAGCUAAGCAGGGUCGGGCCUGGUUAGUACUUGGAUGGGAGACCACCUAGGAAUACCAGGUUGUGUAAGCA